ACGCACGCUGGCGGCGUACUUCACACAUGCCAGUCGCACGGAAAGGCCCUGCUUUUGUGGGGUGCUCGAGUGGCGAACGGGUGAGUAACACGUGAGUAACCUGCCCUUGACUUUGGGAUAACUUCAGGAAACUGGGGCUAAUACCGGAUAGGAGCUCCUGCUGCAUGGUGGGGGUUGGAAAGUUUCGGCGGUUGGGGAUGGACUCGCGGCUUAUCAGCUUGUUGGUGGGGUAGUGGCUUACCAAGGCUUUGACGGGUAGCCGGCCUGAGAGGGUGACCGGCCACAUUGGGACUGAGAUACGGCCCAGACUCCUACGGGAGGCAGCAGUGGGGAAUAUUGCACAAUGGGCGGAAGCCUGAUGCAGCAACGCCGCGUGCGGGAUGACGGCCUUCGGGUUGUAAACCGCUUUCGCCUGUGACGAAGCGUGAGUGACGGUAAUGGGUAAAGAAGCACCGGCUAACUACGU
rnacentral:rRNA from 1 species